AGAACGAACGCUGGCGGCAUGCCUAACACAUGCAAGUCGAACGUGAUCCAGGCUUCGGUCUGGUGAAAGUGGCAGACGGGUGAGUAACGCGUGGGAACCUGCCCUGUGGUAGGGAAUAACCGCGGGAAACUGCGGCUAAUACCCUAUGUGUCCUGAGGGACAAAGAUUUAUCGCCAUAGGAGGGGCCCGCGUCGGAUUAGGUAGUUGGUGGGGUAACGGCCUACCAAGCCAUCAAUCCGUAGCUGGUCUGAGAGGAUGAUCAGCCACACUGGGACUGAGAUACGGCCCAGACUCCUACGGGAGGCAGCAGUGGGGAAUAUUGGACAAUGGGGGCAACCCUGAUCCAGCAAUGCCGCGUGGAUGAUGAAGGCCUUCGGUUGUAAAGUCCUUUCGGCGGGAAGAUGAUGACGGUACCCGCAGAAGAAGCCCGGCUAACUUCGUGCCAGCAGCCGC
rnacentral:rRNA from 1 species